rnacentral:rRNA from 1 species
UACGUAGGGGGCAAGCGUUGUCCGGAUUUAUUGGGCGUAAAGAGCGUGUAGGCGGCUAUGCAGGUCCGCUGUGAAAACUCGAGGCUCAACCUCGAGACGUCGGUGGAAACCGUAUGGCUAGAGUCCGGAAGAGGAGAGUGGAAUUCCUGGUGUAGCGGUGGAAUGCGCAGAUAUCAGGAGGAACACCAGUGGCGAAGGCGGGUCUCUGGGCCGACAUUGACGCUGAGGAGCGAAAGCGUGGGGAGCGAACAGG